GGAACGUCAGGCCAGAGAGGUGACUUGUCCAAGGUAAAAGUUCCCAAGUUGGAGACAAUGGAAUUUCCCCCAGGUCCCACAAGCCACCAGCAGGUGGAAUGUGGGCUGUCUUGGGAGCUCUGACCACUGACAAGACUGAGGCCAGGCUGGGCCAUAUCACGCCUAUUCCUAUUUCCCAUGGGCCUUGACCAUCUAGGCAUUUUAGACGUAUGAAAGGCUCUUGUGGUUGCUGCUGAGAAUGCAGCUCUUGGAAAGAAGGAGCCUCCCACCCUGUUUCUGACGAUGCAACUCGGACAAUAAAACCACUCACUGGGAGAAAGGGCUUUCCUUGUGUAAUCUUAGUGGCACCAGAAGCCAUUAUCCAAAGAAUAGAGGCUAAGCCGAUGGCUCCUAAUUUUCCAUGGAAUCCCGGAGUUGGAAAAUUCCCUUAGAGACAGAUUUAGCCUGAUGUCUUUAUUACACAAGGGUGUGAACAAGGAUCUAGCGGGGAGGGUGAUGGCAUAGGCAGGGGAUGGGUACAAGGUCCAAAGCCAACGGGUAGGAGUUCACCUUCCACCACUGUCACUCUUGAGCUAUGUGAUUACAAAAGAAUUGCAUCACAUUGCUGGGCCUCAGUCUUCCCAUCUGUAAAACGGGGCCCAUAUUAUCAGCCACUGUUAAUUCCUCCACCAGGUCUCAUGUUCCUUAGGGGAAAGGCCAUGCUGAUCUCUUCCUCUACGUUUCUGUCACAGAGAGUCUGGCAUAGUAGUCUUGGCUUAACCAAAUGGUAGGAACAAUCCAUGAGGGCAUUCCUUCCCUAGACCAUCCACCACUCAUUUGUUCCUUUCAUUAAUUCAUUUGUUCAACCAAAAUUUAUUGUCGCCACUUAUGUGCUGGGGACACAGAAGUGCGGGAGACAGACUAGGAGCUUAUAAUUGACUGAUGGGGCUGGACAGGUGAUCACUGCACACUGGAAUGUGGGAAGCAUAGGAUACCAUCCGAACACGGGGAAGACCGCUCUCAUUUGCAGAGCCCAAGGAGACUUUCCUGAGGAGAUGGUGACUCAGCCAAGACUUCAAAGAUAAACAGGCUUAAUAUAAACAAAAGAAGCCCUGUUGGAGUUUCUGGAAAGAUAAGUGUAAUGUGGAAGGGGAGAGGUCCUCCAGUGCCACACAAUUCCCCUCCCUCCACCUCUGCUUCCCAAAGAAACAUCCUCACCCUGAGCAGGGACACAGGAGGUGGUUCAGGACCACGGAGAGCACCGCAGCCACCUUCUCACCACCGUUUUGAUCUUGUUAAUGCUAAAGGGCACAGCUCAGGCUAAGAUCUGAGUAAAAGAAGGGCAGGCUCUGUGGAGGUUUGGGAACCACCAGGUUGGGAGCAGAGGAAGGAGAGUCUAGGGGGCUGGCUAAGGUCCAGGGUAUUGACUGUCACUUCUCCAACUGGGUGAAGGCUGCAAUCCAGACCCAAGGGGAGCCUGGUGAACAACCAGGCCUGGGAGCCCAGGAAUCCCACUGGCCACAAGGAAAACAGCAGGAUGAUUGAGCUGACUUCAGUGGGCUCUGCUCCGGCCAUCCGAGGUCCCUGCCCAGCCACGCCAAGUACUGACAGGGGGACUGUGAAGCCAAAAGCUUCGCCUGGUGCCUGGUGCAGAGAAGGUGCGAGAUGCAAUGAGAUAAUCACCCGUGACAGAGGUAGUCACCUGUGCUCCAGAACCAUCCAGGAGGGCAGUAAUCAGAGCAGGAGACCCUUGAGUUAAGUCCUAAGAGGUGUAUAGGAUUUAACCAGAUGAAGAGAGACAGAAUCGGAUUCCAAGAGUUCCCCUCCAGUUCCCGUGUCCCCUGGCCAUCUCUUCUCCAUACUGAGCAUGCCCAGGUCCUGCCUCACACCCCUCCCCCGUGGCUGGUGUGGUCCUGCUCCUUAUUUAAGAGGCAGUGCCCAGGACAGAGCCUUGAGAGAGAACACAGCACAGUGUAGAAGCAUGUGGAGACUAGAGCCAGAUAUUCAAGUCUAGGCCUCAUCCUUGCCAGCUGUGCCAUCUUGGACAUGUUACUUAACUCCUCUGUUCUUAAGUUGCCUCAUCUACAGAAGAGGGGGAUAGUAACAGGAUUUACUUUGUAGACUUGUUGUGACGAUAUAACGCCUGGAAAGAGUCUAGACAUGGUGAACACUCAAGAAAUGUGGACAUCUCAACAUGACUAAUCAUUACGGAAACGCAAAUGAAAACCACAGUGAGAUAUCACCUCACACCUGUUAGAAUGGCUCUUAUCAAAAAGAUGAGAUAACAAGUGUUGGCGAGGAUGUGGUAAAAAGGAAACACUUGUGCAUUGUUGGUGGGAGUGCAAAUUGGUGCAGCCACUAUGGAAAACAGUAUGGAGGUUCCUCAAAACAUUAAAAAUAGAACUACCAUAUGAUCCAGCAAUUCCACUUCUGGGUAUUUAUCUGAAGAAAAUGAAAACACUAACCUCAAAAAUAUAUUUGCACCCCCAUGUUCCUUGCAGCAUUAUUUACAAUAGGUAAGAUAUGGAAACAACCUAAGUGUCCAUCUGUGGAUGAACGUAUAAAUAAGAUGUGGUACAUAUAUGCAAUGGAAGGUCAUUCAGCCAUAAAACGAAGGAAAUCCUGCCAUUUGCAACAACAUGGAUGGACCUUGAGGGCAUUACACUGAGCCAAGUAAGUCAGACAGAGAAAGACAAAUACGUAUGACCUCACUUAUAUGUGGAAUCUGCAAACAAAAACACAAACCGAGCUCGUAGAUACAGAGAACAGACUGGGGGUUGCCAGAGGUGGGGUUGGGGUGGGUGAAAUGGGUAAAGGUGGUCAAAAGGCAUAAAUUUUCAGUUAUCAAAUAAAAUAAGUUAUGGGGAUGCCCUGUACAGCAUGGUGACUAUAGUUAAUAAUGCUGUGUUGUAUAUUUGGACGUUGCUAAGAGGAUCUUAAAAUUACCUAUCACAGGAAAAAACAAUUUUGUAACUAUGUGUGGUGAUGGAUGUUAACUAGACUUGUAGUGAUCAUUUUGCAAUAUAUGCAAAUAUCCAAUCAUUACUUUGUACACCUGAAACUAACAUAAUGUUAUAUGCCAGUUAUACCUCAAUUAAAGAAAAAGAAAUGUGAGCAUUUAUUAUCACAGCUGGGGACUGACACCGUACUUGCCUCAGCUUCUGCUCAGCCCAGCAAACCCUGACAGGUCCGCCGUGGUUGACAAAGCCUGCUCCAGUCCACAAGCUCAGGUGGCCCCGUUUUACAGAGAAAGAAAUGCAGACGACUCAGGAGCCAAAGGACAUUUCUCGGACCCUACAACUAGUCCAGAGUCACUUCACCUCUCUGAGCCUCAGACUCCUAACUGUCCACUGGGAGUUGCCAUCACCAGAAGGCAGUGCCCAGGAAGUCAGGGACUUUAAUGGGCUGUUUGCUGUAUAUCCCAGGGCCUACAAUGGAAUAAGGUACAUGGUGCUCAAAAGUAUACGUCAGGGCUUUCUUUUCAUGCUUCAUGACCAUAGUGGCUGAAAAAAAUUCUGCUUUGGAAAGUCCGAGAGUUAAGAAUCUGUGGUUUUUAAUUGCACCUCCGGACACCACUGCGUCUGUUCCCAGCUGCUGGUUUCCUUACAGGCGGAGCGGAGGGACGCAACCGUGAUGCUGACACUCCUCCCUUUGAGUGGCAGGGUCUGGGCUCACGCCCCUUGAAUCCUGGCAGGCCUGUGACUAUGUCAGAAGAGACGUGACUUCUGAGGCUGGGUCAGAAAAGUAACAACGUUCUGUCCAGUUCUCUUGAGAUGUCUACCCUUGGAACUCAGUCGCCCUGGUGUGAGGAAGCACAAGUUACACAGAGGCCACGAGCACAUGCUCCAGUCCACAGCCCUGCUGUGGUCCCAGCUGACAGGCAGCCUCAACUGCCUGACAUGCACAUGAGGAAGACUCCAGCCCCAGCCGCCAUAACCGCAUGCCAGCUUGGAAGUUCCUGCUGACCCGAUUCUGCGGGAGCAACAUGCUGGAGUGGAGGGGGUAAGAGCAGAGCCAGGGAGGAGCCCU
ensembl:lncRNA